CUUGAUCCUGUUUCUGGCACAGAGCUCCCAAAACCUUUGGAAUUUCCUGUGAGGAGAGCACUAAAGAUGUUGUAAUCAGUAUUGGAGACACCAGGGGGAUUCAUCAAGCCCCAAUCCUAGCAGCUGUCAGGGAAAUUUAAUAGCUGGAAUGCCUAUCUAAAGAAGAAUAUUUGAAAGAUCUACUAAACCCUAGAAAAAAGAAUUAACUACUCACUGGAUUUGUCACUAAGAGUUGCUCUAAGUAACUGCUCUAACACCAUGUGGUUAUGAGAAAACAGGUCGAUACACCUGUAUUCAAGUGGGAGUGUGCAUGAAUAGUUUAUGUUUCUCUGCUUUGCUUAGACUUGGGAAUUCAGUUAUUCAAUCAGAAGCCUUGUAAGCAUGGUGUGAAAAGCUCGAUUUUACUUCCUAAACAGAAACUCAGAAGGAGGAUGUCUGAAUUAUCAGAACCGUACGAGGGAUCCACAGUACCACUCAUCACACAGGUGUGACUAUGGAAAGGCAUGAAGUCAGGGGACUACUUCAUAUAUUUGGGGAACACCCAUCCAGGAACGACACAGGAGGCACCCCAGUGGCUGUGGUUCAGGACGACAAUGAGCUCAUUCCAGGAAUGCAUGACAGUUGAACUGGGAGAAUAUCACAGUU